rnacentral:rRNA from 1 species
CAAUAGCGUAUGCUAAAGCUGCUGCGGUUAAAAAGCUCGUAGUUGAACUUCGGAGUGGGAUGGCUGGUCCGCCUCUGGCGUGAACAGCACUCUCACUCUUCCAUCUGAAACACUGUUCUGUCCUUCACUGGGUGGUUCAGCGGUUCAGGUCAUUUACCUUGAAAAAAUUAGAGUGUUCAAAGCAGGCUUUCGCCUUGAAUACAUUAGCAUGGAAUAAUAGAAUAGGACUUUGGUUCUAUUUUGUUGGUUUCUGGAACUGAAGUAAUGAUUAAUAGGGAUAGUUGGGGGCAUUAGUAUUCCAUUGUCAGAGGUGAAAUUCUUAGAUUUAUGGAAGACUAACUACUGCGAAAGCAUUUGCCAAGGAUGUUUUCAUUAA